UUAUUCCAGUUCUGUUAGUCACAUGUCUGUGGAACGUGUUCUCACAAAGUUGUUUCUGUUUUUCUUGUAGCUUCAAGCCUCUCCUCGAGACCACAGGUGAUGUGAGGACCCACAGAAAGUUCCUUUCGGAGAGACAGAAACACACCGCUUAUACGCUCUCCCUCGCUUCACUUUUCUGGAGGACAGACGAGAGCUAGAGCCCCUAGCAAGAGACGUCCCUAAAACCCAAAGACAUACAGAACUUCACUGCUAUUACCACGUCGUCGUCUAGUACUAUGCAAAAUGUACAUUUUAUGAACUGUAGAUUGUACCUGGAGUCGGUUAAACGUUUGUCAGUGAUUUGUAAGAACAUGCCGAUUGCUAUGGAGUUCGGCUUUGUAUAAGAGCAUAUGCUUUCUGGGGAUUUUUUUGUUGCUUUUGUUUUGUUCUGCUUUAACUGGGAAUCAAACUGUUUACAUUGUUGUUAUUCCACUGCUCCCCCUCUGCUUGUACCCUCUGCUGUCAUCCCGAUGGACAUGUUCACUGUUUUUCUCUCUGAUUUGGGAAAGAGAAGGCCCAAUUUAAGAUUAUCGCCUCAAAUGAUCAUUUUAGACAAUCGGCUGUGUCAGUCCUUGAAGCGUCACGUUUGUUUUGAAAAUAUUUUUCCUCUUUAAAGCGUUAAUAAAGCUUUUCUGUCGGAGUUGUCAUGCCGGCCGCAAUUGCAAUGUAAACUUAACCCCUUCUGUGCCUAUACAGUUGUCAUUCCAAGUGUGGCAGACUGGUUUAACGUUGUAGUACUUAAGUUGGAUUGUUGUAUUGAGGCGAGAUAGUGGAAACAAUAAAUGAAUUGAAUUUGAAGCUGUUCAGAAAUAACCGGGUUUGUAAGUGGCAAUUGUAAGAGGUCAUUGUGUAGAAUAGUUUUAUAAAUCGAUGUAAAUAAAAUUAGAAAGCCAUGAUUGCCUUGCUACCUCAGACACCAACACCUUUUCAUUUGCGUGGUCUGUAACUUGUUUCCUUUCAAUUUGACUGUACUCGUGACAAGAAAACGAACCGAAAAAACAUUCGAAGUGUGUUGCUUAUAGAUGUGUACUGCUUUGUUGAGAUACCUAGUAGACAAAACACAUCCUAUUACUUCACCACCGAUGGGUCUGUGGCCUGCUGCCCCUCAUCAGUAUACUGUGUCUGUAUGUGUUGAUUUUCCCCUGUCAGACCACUAGCACUGGUCUCUCUCAGAGUUACUUGUCGUGUUUUGUGCUUUGCUAUCCUGUAAAACGUGUUCGUUUUAAUAACACUACUAUAACCUCCUCCAACUAUGUCCUUGGACUGAUGAUGAUAGAGAUGAUGAUGAUGAUGAUGGUCUUUCCUGAGGUAUGUAGUAUAAAUUGACCACUCUACAUGUAAUAUGGCUACAUAUGUUUUAUUCUAAAUACAUUUUUACAACAGCU